GGAUUGUGGCUCAGUGGUAGAGCAUUUGCCUAGGACACCUGAGGCACUAGGUUGGAUCCUUAGCACCA
rnacentral:tRNA from 1 species